rnacentral:rRNA from 1 species
UGCCAAGGUCCGAACGGUAACAUUGUCUAGCUUGCUAUGAAGAUGACGAGUGGCGGACGGGUGAGUAAUGCUUGGGAACUUGCCUUUGCGAGGGGGAUAACAGUUGGAAACGACUGCUAAUACCGCAUAAUGUCUACGGACCAAACGGGGCUUAGGCUCCGGCGCAAAGAGAGGCCCAAGUGAGAUUAGCUAGUUGGUAAGGUAAUGGCUUACCAAGGCAACGAUCUCUAGCUGUUCUGAGAGGAAGAUCAGCCACACUGGAACUGAGACACGGUCCAGACUCCUACGGGAGGCAGCAGUGGGGAAUAUUGCACAAUGGGGGAAACCCUGAUGCAGCCAUGCCGCGUGUGUGAAGAAGGCCUUCGGGUUGUAAAGCACUUUCAGUUGUGAGGAAAAGUUAGUAGUUAAUACCUGCUAGCCGUGACGUUAACAACAGAAGAAGCACCGGCUAACUCCGUGCCAGCAGCCGCGGUAAUACGGAGGGUGCGAGCGUUAAUCGGAAUUACUGGGCGUAAAGCGCACGCAGGCGGUUUGUUAAGCUAGAUGUGAAAGCCCCGGGCUCAACCUGGGAUAGUCAUUUAGAACUGGCAGACUAGAGUCUUGGAGAGGGGAGUGGAAUUCCAGGUGUAGCGGUGAAAUGCGUAGAUAUCUGGAGGAACAUCAGUGGCGAAGGCGACUCCCUGGCCAAAGACUGACGCUCAUGUGCGAAAGUGUGGGUAGCGAACAGGAUUAGAUACCCUGGUAGUCCACACCGUAAACGCUGUCUACUAGCUGUUUGUGACUUUAAGUCGUGAGUAGCGAAGCUAACGCGCUAAGUAGACCGCCUGGGGAGUACGGCCGCAAGGUUAAAACUCAAAUGAAUUGACGGGGGCCCGCACAAGCGGUGGAGCAUGUGGUUUAAUUCGAUGCAACGCGAAGAACCUUACCUACACUUGACAUGCUGAGAACUUUCCAGAGAUGGAUUGGUGCCUUCGGGAACUCAGACACAGGUGCUGCAUGGCUGUCGUCAGCUCGUGUCGUGAGAUGUUGGGUUAAGUCCCGCAACGAGCGCAACCCUUGUCCUUAGUUGCCAGCCUUAAGUUGGGCACUCUAAGGAGACUGCCGGUGACAAACCGAAGGAAGGUGGGGACGACGUCAAGUCAUCAUGGCCCUUACGUGUAGGGCUACACACGUGCUACAAUGGCAUUUACAGAGGGAAACCAGACAUUGAUUUGGA